rnacentral:rRNA from 1 species
AGCGAACGCUGGCGGCAGGCCUAACACAUGCAAGUCGAACGAACUCUUCGGAGUUAGUGGCGGACGGGUGAGUAACACGUGGGAACGUGCCUUUAGGUUCGGAAUAACUCAGGGAAACUUGAGCUAAUACCGAAUGUGCCCUUCGGGGGAAAGAUUUAUCGCCUUUAGAGCGGCCCGCGUCUGAUUAGCUAGUUGGUGAGGUAAAGGCUCACCAAGGCGACGAUCAGUAGCUGGUCUGAGAGGAUGAUCAGCCACAUUGGGACUGAGACACGGCCCAAACUCCUACGGGGGGCAGCAGUGGGGAAUCUUGCGCAAUGGGCGAAAGCCUGACGCAGCCAUGCCGCGUGAAUGAUGAAGGUCUUAGGAUUGUAAAGUUCUUUCACCGGGGACGAUAAUGACGGUACCCGGAGAAGAAGCCCCGGCUAACUUCGUGCCAGCAGCCGCCGUAA